UCCCCGGUGGCUCAAUUUCAGAACUCUUCUCCGUCGUUCCCAAUUCCACCUGAAACUCGGACGCGCCCCUUAAAAUCUCCCAAACCCCCGCAGGCAACAACCGGCGACGAUCCAUGACGCCGGCGCACAAGCCCCGCAAGCGCGGCCCGCCGGCUCCAUCUCCGCCUCCACCCGCGGCACGCCCCGUCCAGCUCCCGCCGCCGGGCUUCAUCGCCGACCGCGCGGAGGCCGCGGCGCGCGUGGAGCGUCUGCUGCGCUACCAGUUCCGCGACCGCGCCCUCCUCGACGAGGCGCUCACGCACCAGUCCUUCUCCGACACGGCGACUUCCUACCAGCGGCUCGAGUUCGUCGGGGACGCCGCGCUCGGCCUCGCCUUCACCAACUUCCUCUACCUCACCAACCCCACCCUCGGUCCCGGCGCGCUCUCCACGCUCCGCGCCGCCAACAUCUCCACCGAGAAGCUUGCGCGUGUCGCCGUCCGCCACGACCUCUACCCGCUGCUCCGCCGCAAGUGCGCCCGCCUCGACCUCCUUGUAGGCCAGUUUAUUGAUUCAGUGAAGGAAGAACUAAACGAGGACCUUGCCACUGCACCCUAUGGUGGUAGUGUGGUUAAAGCUCCCAAGGUUCUUGCGGAUAUUGUUGAGUCCAUCGCUGCUGCUGUCUACGUUGAUUGCAAAUUUGACCUUGAGAAGCUUUGGAAGGUUACAAGGUGGCUCUUUGAGCCAAUUGUCACAGCAGAAACCAUAGAUGAACAACCUGUGAGAACAUUGCAUGAGUUAUGCCAGAAACAUGGCAAAGUUGCACAGUUUAAGACAUGGCAGAGAGGUGGGAUGAUGGUGGUAAAUGUAUUUGUUGGUGGGGAGAUGGUUGGGCUUGGCUCCUCGGAGCAGAAGGUAAUUGCUAAGCUCAAUGCUGCACGAGAUGCGUUAGGCAAGCUUGUCAGUGGUGCAAAGCAGCAAGUAUUGAUCACCGGGGUUGGCAAUGGAUUGGGGGAUGAGGUUGGAGAGCUCAGGGAGUGUAAACAUAAACUUACUGAGCACUGCAUCGGAAAGAAUUGGCCAAAACCCAUCUUUAAUUUGCUUUUCAGGUUGGAAAGAGAAGGCGGCCCUGCACAUGAAAGGAAGUUUGUGUGUUCUGUUCAGGUAGAAACCCAAAAUGGCACUUUUGUAACAAUAGGUGAUCCUAUGUCAAGGUUAAAGGAUGCAGAGAACUCCGCUGCACAGAAGAUGGUGGAACUACUAUUGCAGUUGUGAGAUCUUUUCAUGUACAUGGCUAGGUCACUUGUAACCUCCUUUUGGAAAAAAAACAUAUUUUCUUCAAGGAUAGAUACCUAUUAUGGCAGCUCUGUGGAACUGUGGAUUAUGCCAGUUUGGUACCAUUCAUAGUUGAGCAUUUUUCUAAACCAUGUAUUUUUAGGAUGCAUAAAUCUAGACAACUUAUGCUAGAUAGUUUUUGGGAAACUGGUUUGUCCAUUACCUGAACAGUUCUGGCUUUGUCCUGUUUUAUGUUGCAAUGUUCAGUGUUGAAUGUUUUGUGGAUUUUAUGUUUGGAUCGUUUCAAAAAUAGAAAAUUACUAUAUUCUGCGAGGGAAAGGAGGAAAUUAUUGAGUCCUAACCAUUUUCUUUGGGAAAAAACCUGGUUUUGGUGCACUAGCUGUUCUUAAUUUAUUCCUUGGUGAAGUUUCAAAUAGAUUGUGCAUUCAAUAAACUUUUUUGAAGAUUCCAUUGAGCUUUUGAAAAUUGUAUAGCUAGAUUGUCUUGAAAAGUAGCUUCAUAAUAUUAUAUUUCACAUAUAUCUUAUACUGCUAAUUAAUGGUUGAAGCAGGUCAUGUUGUUGCCCAAAACAGCACCCUUUUGUCAUCAUUAUUUUGAAGGAAACUGUGUUUGUCAUGUUGAGGUGGUUGUAGCAGGCUGAGGCUCAUGAAACUUUGUAGCCUUGUCCAUAACAAGUGGUCAUUUAUUCAUUUAGGAAAUUUGUCUAUGGCACACACAUUUCAAUGAUUUUGUAUGUUGGACACUUGUUUUCUUGACCUAAAGUCAAGUUUUUUUUUUUUUUUGCAGAGUCCAACAGACAGGUUGGUUUUAUUCAUUUUGGUUUCUCACAAGCACUACUGUUGACUGCUACAUGUUAUACUUAUUUUUUUUGUUAGUGUAGUUUCACAUUGUCUUUUGUUUGUAUGAUAAAAUUUCUUUGCUACUUAUAUUGUUGCCUUUCUGAUACGCAUCUCACCAACUACGUCCUACUUGAUUUAACUUAAAUGUUACUUGCACAAUAUAUGGGAAACAGUACCAGUGUUCUGCUUUGUCAGGUAAAUCCCAAAAGCUGGUUGCAUUAUGUCUUUUGGUGAUGCCAUUUUCUGUUUCCCUGUGGUGUUGGGAAUAUUGGUGAGUCUAAGAGUAUUAUGUCAAAGAAAUUACAUGCAACAUCUUUUAGAGAUAUAAAUUGCUGGUAAACAUUUAUUGCAGCUUCAUUGAGGUUUACGGUUGCUUAUAUGUAGUAACUAGUUCUUGUUUACUGCUUCUAUACCUGACGUGACAUCAGUACAUGCAGUCAAUAGUUUUAAAGUAAAUUUACAUUUCCAAAACUUCCGAAAUCAACAAUAUUUGCUUAUUCAUGCUUUUCAGGCUUUAGUCCUCAAGAUGCAUGGAUAGUCCCGUAAGAUGGGAUGGGAGUUCAGUUGCUUGUUGAGAUCUUACAAUUGGCAAUUGAAGUCAAAUAUGGAGGAUAUAUCUACAUAGAAAACCUGUGGGAAAAGAUGAUGCUGGAACUUCAAUGUUUAGGAAAAGAUCAUAUUUUUUUUAUCACUAUGGAAGCUUGGAAAUUUGAAGAUCAGGUACAAACAAGAACCUCCUCUUGUACUACAUGGAAUCACUUGCAUGCUUGAAGCUGGAGAUUAGAUUGGAUAAUUUGACGGACAUGGAAUGGAAAGCCAACUUUUUGUGCAUUGUUUUGACUUGUGGAGCCCGCAGGAGGGAAAAGUAAUGAUGGACCCUGUAUGCAUUACCACAAAAGGCAAUUAUCUGUGCCCACACUCGGGUUACCCGGUAUAUCAUUCCACAAUAUCCAGCACUCUUUCUGGGAACCAUUAUAUACAAUCUAGAUCCACAAUAUCCUCUCAGAUCAACAAAUAUAUGAAGUAAGAUAUCUUAAAACGUGCA